AUUGAACGCUGGCGGCAGGCCUAACACAUGCAAGUCGAAUGGUAACAGGAAACAGCUUGCUGUUUCGCUGACGAGUGGCGGACGGGUGAGUAAUGUCUGGGAAACUGCCUGAUGAAGGGGGAUAACUACUGGAAACGGUAGCUAAUACCGCAUAACGUCGCAAGACCAAAGAGGGGGACCUUCGGGCCUCUUGCCAUCAGAUGUGCCCAGAUGGGAUUAGCUAGUAGGUGGGGUAACGGCUCACCUAGGCGACGAUCCCUAGCUGGUCUGAGAGGAUGACCAGCCACACUGGAACUGAGACACGGUCCAGACUCCUACGGGAGGCAGCAGUGGGGAAUAUUGCACAAUGGGCGCAAGCCUGAUGCAGCCAUGCCGCGUGUAUGAAGAAGGCCUUCGGGUUGUAAAGUACUUUCAGCGGGGAGGAAGGGAGUAAAGUUAAUACCUUUGCUCAUUGACGUUACCCGCAGAAGAAGCACCGGCUAACUCCGUG
rnacentral:rRNA from 1 species